rnacentral:rRNA from 1 species
GGCGAGAAAACUUUGCAAUUUGCGAAAGCACGACAAGGUUAAUCCGAGUGGUUUUUGCUUAACGAACCUUUUGUUAGUCCUAGAAACACUAACGAAUAAGGGGUGGGCAAGUUCUGGUGUCAGCCGCCGCGGUAAAACCAGCACCUCAAGUGGUCAGGAUGAUUAUUGGGCCUAAAGCAUCCGUAGCCGGCUCUGUAAGUUUUCGGUUAAAUCUGUACGCUCAACGUACAGGCUGCCGGGAAUACUGCAGAGCUAGGGAGUGGGAGAGGUAGACGGUACUCGGGAGGAAGUGGUAAAAUGCUUUGAUCUCUCGAUGACCACCUGUGGCGAAGGCGGUCUACCAGAACACGUCCGACGGUGAGGGAUGAAAGCUGGGGGGGCAAACCGGAUUAGAUACCCGGGUAGUCCCAGCUGUAAACUAUGCAAACUCAGUGAUGCAUUGGCUUGUGGCCAAUGCAGUAUUGCAGGGAAGCCGUUAAGUUUGCCGCCUGGGAAGUACGUACGCAAGUAUGAAACUUAAAGGAAUAGGCGGGGGAGCACCACAAGGGGUGAAG